rnacentral:pre_miRNA from 1 species
UACAUACUCCCUCCGUCCGGAAAUACUUGUCAUCAAAAUGAAUAAAAGGGGAUGUAUCUAGACAUAUUUUAGUUUGAGAUACAUUUCUUUUUAUCCAUUUUGAUGACAAGUAUUUUCGGACGGAGGGAGUAUAAA